GCAGGGGCGGUUCAAGUGGCCGGGGAAAUCGGCGAAUUGCAGGGUCAAGGGCUGGUGCUUUGAAAGAGAGGCAGAGGGGAGAGAGGGAUUUUUCCCGCCCCCGCUGCGCUCCGUCCUCCAUUACUCCUUUUCUCGGCCCGCGGCCCGAACCCGUUGUGCGGUAGAGGCAGCCGGGUCCCUUUAAGGCCCCGCUGCGCCUGUGCCUUGGGCUCUCCUGACGCGGCCCAGCCGGACCCUGAGGAGCCAGCGGGCCGCAAGCAAGUUGCUGGGCGGCGGUUGAGAUAGCGGCGGUGCUGGGAGGGGUAGGUGAGGGUCGCGAGGCUGCCUGAGCUUCUGAGUGAGCCUGGUGAUUUUGGGAACGCGGGACGGGCGACCUGCGGCGCCAGGAGCGGGGCCGAGGUACGGCGGCACGGCUGCAGCCUGGAUGGGAAGUUCAAGUUUACUGCGAAGUCCACCCAGCGUUCCGGAGGCAUUCUGAAGGCAAAUCCUGUAUAGACCCAGGCAAAGGUUCCUGGUGACCCAGGCUCUCAUGAGCAGAUUGUCCCUUAUCAUUCUCCUGAGGAUGUCUGGAGCUUCAGUGCUGUGUGCUCUUGGCCUCCACACUGGGGGUGCCACCGACUCCCACUGUCCAGGGCUUCCAGUGGACUCUCCGAGGCACCGAUGUAGAAACUUACCCAUUCAGUGCACCAAGAGCAGCCUCACAUGGUGUGGGCCGACAUGAAGAGCUGCCAGAUCCAACAGGUAAAAAUCCUGAGGCACUGCCAGCUCGAUGGUGUCAGAGAGUCCUCUUU
rnacentral:lncRNA from 1 species